rnacentral:rRNA from 1 species
AGCGAACGCUGGCGGCAGGCCUAACACAUGCAAGUCGAGCGCCCAGCAAUGGGAGCGGCAGACGGGAGAGUAACACGUGGGAACGUACCUUUCAGUUCGGAACAACCAAGGGAAACUUUGGCUAAUACCGGAUACGCCCGUAAGGGGAAAGAUUUAUCGCUGAAAGAUCGGCCCGCGUCUGAUUAGCUUGUUGGUGAGGUAACGGCUCACCAAGGCGACGAUCAGUAGCUGGUCUGAGAGGAUGACCAGCCUCACUGGGACUGAGACACGGCCCAGACUCCUACGGGAGGCAGCAGUGGGGAAUAUUGGACAAUGGGCGCAAGCCUGAUCCAGCCAUGCCGCGUGGAUGAUGAAGGCCUUAGGGUUGUAAAGUCCUUUUAACGGGGAAGAUAAUGACGGUACCCGUAGAAUAAGCCCCGGCUAACUUCGUGCCAGCCGCCGCCGUAACAC